GUGAAUUCCAUUUUUACAAUUUUUUUCAUCAUGAACAUUUCAGUGUGCUUCUUAGAAAAGAGCACGCAGUUUCGUUAUGGAAUCGUGUGGUCCUGGCACGGAGAUUCUUGUGCCAAUGAUGACCUUUGUUCAUGACGGAAGAGGGACUUCCACCUACGUCCUUCCUUAUCUUCGCGACGCACGCUCAUCUAGCUUCACUGCUUCUUAACACAAUUUGUUUUACUUCACUGGCGACUUGGCGAGUUUCUGGACCACCUCAUGAUCGCUUCCGUCCGCUGUUACACACCUGCUGUCACUCACCACGGAUUAUGCCCAGGUAACGCAGAGGAGACGUCGAGAAGAUGGAUCGUACCAAAACAUCUCCGUUAUCUCCAAAAUGUCAGCGCGGAUCAUCAUUUGUUGUUGGUAAUAUUUGUGUUUGU